rnacentral:rRNA from 1 species
UACGUAGGGGGCAAGCGUUGUCCGGAUUUAUUGGGCGUAAAGCGCUCGCAGGUGGUUCGAUGCGUCGUGCGUGAAAGACCCCGGCUCAACUGGGGGGUGUCGUGCGAUACGGUCGGACUGGAGGCCAGUAGGGGGAUGCGGAAUUCCGGGUGUAGUGGUGGAAUGCGUAGAGAUCCGGAGGAACACCAGCGGCGAAGGCGGCAUCCUGGACUGGUCCUGACACUCAUGAGCGAAAGCGUGGGUAGCAAACAGG